CCAAUAGCGUAUAUUAAAGUUGUUGCAGUUAAAAAGCUCGUAGUUGAAUUUCGGAAUCUGUCCAUCGGUCGGGCUUCACUGUCCGUACUGGUGUGGUGGGUUCUUACCUUCUGAAUAACCAGCAUGCCAUUCACUUGGUGCGCUGGGGAAGCAGGACUAUUACCUUGAAAAAAUUAGAGUGCUCAAAGCAGGCUAGCGCCUGAAUACAUUAGCAUGGAAUAAUAAAAUAGGACGGCAUGGUUCUAUUUUGUUGGUUUCUAGGAUCACCGUAAUGAUUAAUAGGGAUAGUUGGGGGCAUUAGUAUUCAAUUGUCAGAGGUGAAAUUCUUGGAUUUAUUGAAGACUAACUUCUGCGAAAGCAUUUGCCAAGGAUGUUUUCAUUAAUCAAGAACGAAAGUUAGGGGAUCGAAGACGAUCAGAUACCGUCGUAGUCUUAACCAUAAACUAUGCCGACUAGGGAUCGGACGAUGUUAAUUUUUUAAUGACUCGUUCGGCGCCUUACG
rnacentral:rRNA from 1 species